GGCUGCUCCAAGCUAAUUGGCAUUAAAAGAAUUCAUUUCAAUUUGUUAAUAUUAAAUGAACACUCUGCACUUUAGCUCCCUUCCUCGCCCUGGAUUCCCAGAUGAGUGAUGGGAAGCAGGGCGGGGGAGCAGGCAGGAUUUUAUGUCUGGCUUUCUAGCUUGGCCACUGUUGGGCCUUCCCUGGUGUUGUGAGACCAGGCAAGGUGGAGGCCUGAUGGGGGGAAAUCCAAGGGUCUUAUUCUUUAUCAUCCUGUAAAGCGGGAGCUGUGGGUAAGGGUGAGUGAAGGGGGUCAAAAGAGAGACAUAAAAAGGUUUAGGGGAUAGUGUGGUGGAAAAAGUGGCUAGGAGACUGGGAAGGUAAGUCAAUGGGCUGAAUAGAAAUUUGAAAACACAAGGGUUGUGGGCAAUGGGUGAGAUGGAUUUAGGAAGAAAGGCCCGUGCAGCUGAAAAUCUGACCCCAGGCUUAGGGCAAGCAGCCGGGGUUUUGCAGCUGCUAGCAAGGGACCCUGGACUUUUCUAUCAUUUCAGUUUCUUGGUCUGUGAAGCAAGGAUUAUAAAAUGAAGGAUAUGUCUUAGGGUUGUCUGAGAUUCCAUGAAACACACAUGAUGUGUUCUGCAGCAUGCUGGGUACAUAGGUAACACUACUACAUGUUGCCUCACUUUCUGAUCCAGUAAUUGAUGGAUUGGACUCUCAGACCUGCCUUGAAUUAGUUGUAUGCUCUCCAAGCAAUUAUUUGAGCAGUGCAUGCCUGUUUUCUUAUUGGUAUCAGAGUCAAUAGCUUCUGGGCUCAGGCAUGGAAGAUAGAAGGGAAUUUCAGUGCAAAGUGCCUGGAACAACUCAAGUCUCAUCAUGCUACAUGAAAGCUGCUAUGGACAAUGUUGCCCUUUGGGUGAGCAAGGUGAGAAUAAGCAGGUUGAGAAGGCUCCCCACAGCUAUAUAAGGAGCUGCACAUUGAAAGUUGAGUUCUAAUCUUUUUUCCUUUAUUAUAGAAAAAAAUAUAUAUACAAGAUGGUUAGAUGCUUAAACUAUAGUAGCCAUGAAGACUUUUCUUUUGGGUUUUGAGACAGGAUCUCUUGCAGCCCAAGCUGGCCUAAAACUUGCAAUGAAACAAUCAAAGGGUGACCUUGAACUUCUGGUUCACCUGACUCUGCUUCUCAAGUGCUGGGCUUACAGGUAGGAGCCACCAUGACUAGUCUAUAGAAACAUAGCUUAAUGUCUUCCUGUGCUGUACUUCUGAAGGAGGCAGUAAAAGAAUUCAACCUGAAAGGAAAGGCAGUACACAUGUAAAGUCAGGUGGAGGAUGGGGCCAGAUCACUACAGCAGAUGGAGUGGCAUGUGGGUGGGUGGGUGGGAGAUAGUAUUCUGAUAUUCCAUCUGAGAAGAUUUCCCAGAGGAGGUAACUAUAGGUUAGGAUUCCAGUGGAUGUGAAAGAUAAUAGGAAUAGAAAAAUAUAGGGAAGAAGUUAUACAUUGAUGAGAAAGAGGAAGAAUCAUGCCAAGGCCGGCUAAGAGUAGGGAGAUAAAGCAUAAUUGUCUUGCUGACACCAAAUCAAAGUAAUCACCACUCACUGAAGGCAUACUGUGUGCAAGGCACAUAAGAUUGUGCAAGGUACAUAAGAAUCACUACUCACUGAGGGGUUAGCAGUGGGCAAGACUAUGUGAGGGAGUUGCGGUCAGACAGUGGAGACAGGAACUGUUCUCAUAUCUACAUGAAGAAGGAUGAAGGAAUGCUCUAUGGACAGAGCUGCUAAGUUACUCUUCUGGGACUGCUGUUUGUGGAUGAAUCACAGGGCCCUGACUGGGCUGCAACACUUCCAGGUGAUGGUUUUAAUGGCUUUCCCCUGGGGACAUCCAGUGAGGAUUUGAGUCCUCAGUAAAGAGUGUCAGUUGUCACAGAAGUCUUAUUCUCUUUUUGUAUGACUGCAGGGCCUUCUAUUCCAACACCUCUUCCAGCGACCUGGUCAGGUGUGGCCAAUGGAAGCAAGAGCCCAGUGAAGUCGCCUAAGUCCGAGGGCAUGGUGUAACUCACACGGAGCACAACCCUACUUGGAAUGGACCAUUCGUGGCUUUAGAAUCUUGAUGGACACGAGCAACUGUCGGCACAAUCUAUUUAAGAGUAUUCUGAGCCCUCAGAGAGCAGCCUUCUGCCCACAGGUGACCAAAUCCUUAUCCUCAAUAACCCUUCUAACUGAGCAGCCAACGAGCUGCCCUCUACCUAUUCAGGACAGCCUAGGAAUGGCUUCAUGCAGUAGGUGGCCUUCUGUGAUUGGCUCCUUUUCCUUGGUUCUUAUGCGUUGCUGUGUCAAAGCACGCAUCCAUUCUCCUUCCUUCUCAUGGAUGAGUUACUUCAACGGUAGACAGACCACCUUCCAGGUAUGUGUUCAUCAGUACAUGGGCAUUUAGGUUGUUCCCAUGUCCAGAAAUUAUGAUUUUCUAUGUCUCUAGACAGUUUGAAUCAUCUAGAGUGAGCUCUGCAGCCAGGAACAGGCCUGACUUAUGUGUGGGAACCUCCAGUGUCCAUGGAAGCCAGGCUUUUGCACCUGGUCCAGGUGCUUCUCCCCUGGUUACAUUGCUGAGGAUGGCCAUUGACCCAGCAGCUCUCUAUUUGUCCCCUUGCUGUCCUCAGACCCCUCUCCUGCAGCUUCAGAGUCUGAGUGGAGAAACAGGAAUACUUCCCCAAGAUUGGCCCCAUGUAAUCCUCUAUGUGUGCUACUGGUAAAUGGAAACCUUCGGGCCAAGGGAAAGUCAAGUUCUUGAGGGUGUGUCUGCUUCAGAGUCCAGGUCUCCUUCCCAUGUCCCACCUCACUUCUCUCAGUCUACUCUUUCUUCUGCUGACACCAGAAACUGCCCUACCUGCAUCAAUCCUAACAUACCAGUGGGACCAGCAGGAUGCAUACAAGAAGUCCAAAUAGUGCCAGGUUGCAUUUGUUGAAUGAGUGGAUGAGGGAUGAUUCCAUACUCUGGAAAUAAACUGUGGAGAAGGUCAGUUAUAAAUCUCUAUCUAUUACUACCCCUUUCCUAGUCUGGAAAUCAGCAUUUUCCUCACAAAGGUGGGUGAAGAAAGCACAAAAUGCUACCUCUA
rnacentral:lncRNA from 1 species